rnacentral:rRNA from 1 species
AUUGAACGCUGGCGGCAGGCCUAACACAUGCAAGUCGAACGGUAACAGGAAGAAGCUUGCUUCUUUGCUGAUGAGUGGCGGACGGGUGAGUAAUGUCUGGGAAACUGCCUGAUGGAGGGGGAUAACUACUGGAAACGGUAGCUAAUACCGCAUAACGUCGCAAGACCAAAGAGGGGGACCUUCGGGCCUCUUGCCAUCGGAUGUGCCCAGAUGGGAUUAGCUAGUAGGUGGGGUAACGGCUCACCUAGUCGACGAUCCCUAGCUGGUCUGAGAGGAUGACCAGCCACACUGGAACUGAGACACGGUCCAGACUCCUACGGGAGGCAGCAGUGGGGAAUAUUGCACAAUGGGCGCAAGCCUGAUGCAGCCAUGCCGCGUGUAUGAAGAAGGCCUUCGGGUUGUAAAGUACUUUCAGCGGGGAGGAAGGGAGUAAAGUUAAUACCUUUGCUCAUUGACGUUACCCGCAGAAGAAGCACCGGCUAACUCCGUG